GACGAACGCUGGCGGCGUGCCUAAUACAUGCAAGUAGAACGCUGAAGGAGGAGCUUGCUUCUCUGGAUGAGUUGCGAACGGGUGAGUAACGCGUAGGUAACCUGCCUGGUAGCGGGGGAUAACUAUUGGAAACGAUAGCUAAUACCGCAUAAGAGUAGAUGUUGCAUGACAUUUGCUUCAAAGGUGCAAUUGCAUCACUACCAGAUGGACCUGCGUUGUAUUAGCUAGUUGGUGGGGUAACGGCUCACCAAGGCGACGAUACAUAGCCGACCUGAGAGGGUGAUCGGCCACACUGGGACUGAGACACGGCCCAGACUCCUACGGGAGGCAGCAGUAGGGAAUCUUCGGCAAUGGACGGAAGUCUGACCGAGCAACGCCGCGUGAGUGAAGAAGGUUUUCGGAUCGUAAAGCUCUGUUGUAAGAGAAGAACGAGUGUGAGAGUGGAAAGUUCACACUGUGACGGUAUCUUACCAGAAAGGGACGGCUAACUACGUG
rnacentral:rRNA from 1 species